GAUGAAGAACGUAGCGAAAUGCGAUAAGUAAUGUGAAUUGCAGAAUUCAGUGAAUCAUCGAAUCUUUGAACGCACAUUGCGCCCUCUGGUAUUCCGGGGGGCAUGCCUGUUCGAGCGUCAUUAUAACCACUCAAGCUCUCGCUUGGUAUUGGGGCUCGCGGUUCCGCGGCCCCUAAAAUCAGUGGCGGUGCCUGUCGGCUCUACGCGUAGUAAUACUCCUCGCGAUUGAGUCCGGUAGGUCUACUUGCCAGCAACCCCCAAUUUUUACAGGUUGACCUCGGAUCAGGUAGGGAUACCCGCUGAACUUAAGCAUAUCAAUCAGCGGAGGA
rnacentral:misc_RNA from 1 species